rnacentral:rRNA from 1 species
UACGUAGGGUGCAAGCGUUGUCCGGAAUUAUUGGGCGUAAAGAGCUCGUAGGCGGUUUGUCGCGUCUGCUGUGAAAACCCGAGGCUCAACCUCGGGCCUGCAGUGGGUACGGGCAGACUAGAGUGCGGUAGGGGAGAUUGGAAUUCCUGGUGUAGCGGUGGAAUGCGCAGAUAUCAGGAGGAACACCAGUGGCGAAGGCAGAGCGCUGGGCCGUAACUGACGCUGAGGAGCGAAAGCAUGGGGAGCGAACAGG